CCACAUUCUUCUCUACUCUUCAAAAAUAAGUCGGAUCCACAAAGUACUACUCAACAUAUUGGACCUCAGUGUGGACAGGUGAAUGAAGGACAUGUGGAGAAUUCCAUUUCCAACUCCAUGUGCAUGAAUUAUUUGCCCUGGUUGUUCAUCUGUCAUAGUGUAAAAAGCCUGAUUUACAAAGACUGGAGGCCUUUCGCAGAACAAGAGCUGAACUAGAGAAACAUGGUUAUAAGAUGGAGACUUCAUAGCGUCCAGAAGAAGUGUUGAAGUAACCUAAACUUGACCUGCUUAAUACAUUCUAGGACAGAGAACCCAGGAUGGGACACUAAAAAAAUAAGUUUAUUUCAUUAUCUGCUUGGAUUUAUUUGUGUUUUUGUAACACAAAAAAUAAAUGUUUUGAUAUAAAAAAAAUAAAUAAGUACCAAGAUGAUGCAAAGGAAGAAAUUUUCCCCUCAAGAUGGACAAAUAUCUAAGCAAUUGGGAGGUGCAUUCUCUGGUAACAUGAGAGCCAACUCCCAGUCCUGAUUGCAUUGGAGAAGAAGCCCUCUGUGGAGCCUCCACUCUCAUUAUUCUAUUGAGAUCCAUGGAAUUAGGAAUUCCCAUCCUCAGUUUCUUCUUGGAGGUACAGAGCAGUAGCAUUCCAUGAAGGAGGAACUUCAAAAGAGAUUGUGUAAUUCAAAGUGUGCCGGACCAGUCAAAGAAUCCUGCGUCAAAAUCAAGAGAAUGAACAAGCCUUCAUCGCCAUGGCACAUUUAUAUAAAAAGAAAGGGAGAGAAGUUGGGGGAAGUCAGGGACCCCAAACAGAGGGACUGGCUGAAGCCAUGGCAGAAGAACGUGGAUUGUGAAGAUUUCAUGGACAUUUAUUAGUUCCCCAAAUUAAUACUUUUAUAAUUUCUUAUGCCUGUCUUUACUGCAAUCUCUAAACAAAAAUUGUGAAGAUUUCAUGGACACUUAUCACCUCCCCAAUCAAUACCCUUGUGAUUUCCUAGGCCUGUCUUUACUUUAAUCUCUUAAUCCUGUCAUCUUAUAAGCUAAGGAGGAUGUAUGUUGUCUCAGGACCAUGUGAUAAUUGCGUUAACUGCACAAAUUGUAGAGCAUGUGUGUUUGAACAAAUAUGAAAUCUGGGCACCUUGAAAAAAGAACAGGAUAACAGCAAUUGUUCAGGGAAUAAGAGAGAUAACCUUAAACUCUGACCGCCAGUGAGCCGGGCGGAACAGAGCCAUAUUUCUCUUCUUUCAAAAGCAAAUGGGAGAAAUAUCGCUGAAUUCUUUUUCUCAGCAAGGAACAUCCCUGGGAAAGAGAAAACACACCUGGGGGUAUAGGUCUAUAGAUGGCCCCCCCGGGUGUGGUCGUCUUUUAUGGUCUGUAGACUGUAGGGGUGAAAUAGAUCCCAGUCUCCCAUAGCACUCCCAGGCUUAUUAGGAAGAGGAAAUUCCCGCCUAAUAAAUUUUGGUCAGACCGGUUGCUCUCAAAACUCUGUCUCCUGAUAAGAUGUUAUCAAUGACAAUGGGGCCCGAAACUUCAUUAGCAAUUUUAAUUUCGCCCCGGUCCUGUGGUCCUGUGAUCUUGCCCUGCCUCCAUUUGCCUUGUGAUAGUCUAUUACCUUGUAAAGUACGUGAUCUUUGUGACUGACACCUUAUUCGUACACUCCCUCCCCUUUUGAAAAUCCCUAAUAAAAACUUGCUGGUUUUGUGGCUUGUGGGGCAUCACAGAACCUACGGACAUGUGAUGUCUCCCCUGGAUGACCAGCUUUAAAAUUUCUCUCCUUUGUACUCUGUCCCUUUAUUUCUCAAAUGGGCUGAUGCUUAGGGAAAACAGAAAAGAACCUACGUGACUAUCGGGGUAGGUUCCCUGAUAAGUAUUCUUAGCAGAAGGCACAGCAAGAGCAAAGGCCCCCAGAGUGGAAUGAACUCGGUUUGUGCGGAGACCUGAGAAGCCCUGGUGGCCAGCACACUUGGAACAAGGGGUGGGGCGGCUAUGAGUAGAUACGCCGCGGGGUCCUGGAGGGCUCCCAGGAGCACAGGCACGU
rnacentral:lncRNA from 1 species